rnacentral:rRNA from 1 species
GAUGAACGCUGGCGGCGUGCCUAAUACAUGCGAGUCGAGCGAAUGGAUUAAGAGCUUGCUCUUAUGAAGUCAGCGGCGGACGGGUGAGUAACACGUGGGUAACCUGCCCAUAAGACUGGGAUAACUCCGGGAAACCGGGGCUAAUACCGGAUAACAUUUUGAACCGCAUGGUUCGAAAUUGAAAGGCGGCUUCGGCUGUCACUUAUGGAUAGACCCGCGUUGCAUUAGCUAGUUGGUGAGGUAACGGCUCACAAAGGCAACGAUGCGUAGCCGACCUGAGAGGGUGAUCGGCCACACGGGGACUGAGACACGGCCCAGACUCCUACGGGAGGCAGCAGUAGGGAAUCGUCCGCAAUGGACGAAAGUCUGACGGAGCAACGCCGCGUGAGUGAUGAAGGCUUUCGGGUCGUAAAACUCUGUUGUUAGGGAAGAACAAGUGCUAGUUGAAUAAGCUGGCACCUUGACGGUACCUAACCAGAAAGCCACGGCUAACUACGUGCCAGCCGCCGCGGUAA